rnacentral:rRNA from 1 species
UACAGAGGGUGCAAGCGUUUAAUCGGAAUUACUGGGCGUAAAGCGUGCGUAGACGGUUACAUAAGUCGGGUGUGAAAGCCCCGGGCUCAACCUGGGAAUGGCAUUCGAGACUGUGUAGCUAGGAUGCGGAAGAGGGAAGCGGAAUUUCCGGUGUAGCGGUGAAAUGCGUAGAUAUCGGAAGGAACACCAGUGGCGAAAGCGGCUCCUGGUCCAGCAUCGACGUUCAGGCACGAAAGCGUGGGGAGCAAACAGG